CCUCCAAGCGUCCGUUUUCCAUGGUCAAUGAGAGUGUAGCCUGUCCUUCCUUCUUCUCUCUGUAUCACACACACACACGUCCACUUCUCUUACAUUUCUUUAUUUAUUUAUUUCUUUCUUUUCAUUUGCUGCAAACCUCACACCUCAUCGAUCGCCACAACUGAUAUUCAAUUGCCGUUCUUCCAAUCUGCUCUGGUGAUGGUUGUGGAGAAGAGGAAGAUAAUAGGUCCGGUGAGGGUGGGUUCCUGUGGUUUGAGUCAUUUUAUCAGUUUAGUCCAAAGGUUUCAUUUUUAACCUGUGGGUCCAAA
rnacentral:lncRNA from 1 species